rnacentral:rRNA from 1 species
CAGCAGCCGCGGGAAUACGGAGGGUGCAAGCGUUAAUCGGAAUUACUGGGCGUAAAGCGCACGCAGGCGGUCUGACAAGUCAGAUGUGAAAUCCCCGGGCUUAACCUGGGAACUGCAUUUGAAACUGUCAGGCUGGAGUCUUGUAGAGGGGGGUAGAAUUCCAGGUGUAGCGGUGAAAUGCGUAGAGAUCUGGAGGAAUACCGGUGGCGAAGGCGGCCCCCUGGACAAAGACUGACGCUCAGGUGCGAAAGCGUGGGGAGCAAACAGGAUUAGAUACCCCAGUAGUCCCUGUCUCUUAUAC